CAUUUUGCCAGAAAUGAUCAACGAGGAGGAGGAUCUGGCUUAACUGAAACGUUGGAACCAGCCUGCAUGGUGAAAACCACGGAGGCGAGAAGAAGCAGCUGCAAGUGUCAUGGCAGGGCCUUCUGCAGACCUGGAGGCAAGCACCAGCUUCUCAGGACAGGCUUCUUCUGGGUUACGGAGAGAGGUCUGGAAUGAUCUUCAAAGUAGCCUGAUCACUUCAUGCUGACAUUUUAAUAACAUCAAUGGGAGGACUUGCGGAGAACAGCAGGUAUGAAAAGAUGGGGAAUACAGUCAUCAGCUUUGUAGAACCUGAGGAGGCGAAGAUACAUCCUGGUACCUCUGCAGUGUGGUGGAAAGGUUUCUUCCUGGUGAAGCUGCUUCGAGGCCCUGCUUCCCAGGACCUGGCCGAACAUCGCUUGUUGAUGGGAACUAGAGAGGAAGAUACAGAAUUUAACACCAUCUGAAGAUUCUACAAUAGCAACUUGAUCAUGUCGUGCUAAUACGUAGCUCUCAGAACAAACAAACACAAAACAUAAAACCAACCCCAAAACAUUGUUUGCGUCCACUACAUUUAUAGAAGACUGUAUCCUUAAAAGAUCUGAAGCAACUGGAAAUUUAUAAAAUAAAUAAUAGAAGGA